rnacentral:lncRNA from 1 species
UUAGGUCAUGGGGGCUCCACACUCAUGGGUGGAUUAAUGCUGAGUAUAAAAAGGCUUGAGGCCGUGAGAUCAAUCUCUUGCUCCCUCUCUUACCCUCUCGGACUCUCUCAUCUUCUACCAUGGAAUGAUGCAGCAAGAAGGCCCUUGAAUGAUGCCAGCACCUUGAUAUUGGACUUUCCAGCCUCCAGAACCAUGAGCCAAUACAUUUCUGUUCCAUAAAAAUUACCCAGUUCCAGGUAUUCUGCUAUAGCAGCACAAAAUGGACUAAAACAAUGUUGGCACAAGACUCAGUGCUGGGCCUGGCAUGCAACAGGUCCUUGGAGUGGCGUGCUGUGUGGAUAAUGAAUAUUGGGGAAGGCAUCUCUCUCCAGCCCCUCUCAAGCUUUCUGUAGUCACUGGUCCACUCUGUAUUGCUAUGAAGAAGCUCAAGACCAGCCUGUAUCACUCGGGGUCCUGGCAGGAACCAGGUGCCACACUCAAACUGAGUAAUUGAAGAGGGUUUAAUAUGGGAGUUAUUUACAUAGGUGUGGGCUGGUGUAGCUGCCCAUAUGCCCUCAAAAUCACCUCUACAUGGCAAUAGCUACUUACUGCUAACAGAGUCUCUCUCUCAUUGCUGCAAAUAUUUUCUAGCCAUGCAAGAAACUCAGCCGGUCAUGUUGAACAAACUAAGAGUGCCAGGAAGUUAAUGUCCUGGAAGCAUUGCCAGAGGGGAGGGGGCAGUUAGAUUCCCCAGCUUCCUCGCUCCUCUGCUGGGUUAAGCCUGCAACAUAUUCAUCAUCUCCCAGAGUGCUGCCCAGGGAUAGAGCUCCAGGUGCUCAGUGUGGUGACCUGCUCAUGUCAGCUUCUUCCCCUUUCCUGUCUUGUUUCGCACCCACAUCCUUCCCAUGUUUCCUCUUCCCAAAUAAACUACUUGCAUUGAAAUCUUUGUCUCAG